rnacentral:rRNA from 1 species
UCUACGGGAGGCAGCAGUGGGGAAUAUUGGACAAUGGGCGAAAGCCUGAUCCAGCCAUGCCGCGUGUGUGAAGAAGGCCUUCGGGUUGUAAAGCACUUUCAGUGGGGAAGAAAGCCUUGGGGCUAAUACCCUCGAGGAAGGACAUCACCCACAGAAGAAGCACCGGCUAACUCCGUGCCAGCAGCCGCGGUAAUACGGAGGGUGCGAGCGUUAAUCGGAAUUGCUGGGCGUAAAGCGCGCGUAGGCGGUCUGAUAAGCCGGUUGUGAAAGCCCCGGGCUCAACCUGGGAACGGCAUCCGGAACUGUCAGGCUAGAGUGCAGGAGAGGAAGGUAGAAGUCCCGGUGUAGCGGUGAAAUGCGUAGAGAUCGGGAGGAAUACCAGUGGCGAAGGCGGCCUUCUGGACUGACACUGACGCUGAGGUGCGAAAGCGUGGGUAGCAAACAGGAUUAGAACCCCUGUAGUC